rnacentral:lncRNA from 1 species
AAGCAAACUUCGUUUGACCAAGACUUUUCCCAAACUAGAAUGAACCUGUGAGGAUGCAAACAAAUAGGGUAUCCCAACUACAAUCAAAACACCCCGAAAACAAUAAUAAUAAGAACACCAAAUUUUAGCGUGGAAAACCUCUCAAGAAAGGAGAGUAAAAACCACGGGACUACUAGAGCCGCUUCAAAUCCACUAUCACCAAAUUAGAGCAAUACAAAGUCUUCCCUAGGUCUACUAGAGGCAUACAAUAAUCAUCAUACACUUGGAAUCAACAACAUCAAGCAUAUGGAAUCAAAUACAAAGACAAAAGAAGGAAAUGUCACCAAAUUCUGCAGCAGCAAACAGAGGCUGUGCAGACGAACUUCCAAAGCUUAUUUGGACAAACCCACCGUUGGAUAAGGUCUCCCUGAUGUCCGAAUGACUGUGCCAAAAAUUCAGAGCGAUCCAACGGUUCAAU